rnacentral:lncRNA from 1 species
GGGAAAUUACAAGGCAUAAGUCACAAGAAGAGUGAACAAACUGUGGAGACCCCAUCGGCAACUCCAACCAAAGACUCUGGCGUGAAAAAACCUACUGUGUGGCGGAUGAAAACGGCCGCAACGACAUCUUCGGCACCUCCACCAAAGGGUCAUUACGAAUAGACACAACUAUGUGUUGAAUAUAAGCUAUUGCCUAUAUAUUACAAGGCAUAAGUCACAAGAAGAGUGAACAAACUGUGGAGACCCCAUCGGCAACUCCAACCAAAGACUCUGGCGUGAAAAAACCUACUGUGUGGCGGAUGAAAACGGCCGCAACGACAUCUUCGGCACCUCCACCAAAGGGUCAUUACGAAUAGACACAACUAUGUGUUGAAUAUAAGCUAUUGCCUAUAUAUACAAGCUCAACGACGGCAUGUGUUGCUACAAAUUAAAAAAACUAUAUGUUAUAUAAUCUAGAAUCACGUGGCAUUUUGUGUUUCACCCGA